CACGGGGGUUGCGAGCGUUGUCCGGAAUUACUAGGCGUAAAGGGCAGGUAGGCGGAUCUACGAGUUUUUUGUUAAAGGCAACGGCUCAACUGUAGCAAGGCAGGAGAUACUGUAGGUCUGGAAUGCGGUAGGGGAAGACAGAAUUCCUGGUGUAGCGGUGGAAUGCGCAGAGAUCAGGAGGAAUACCGAAGGCGAAGGCAGUCUUCUAGGCCGUAAUUGACGCUUAACUGCGAAGGUGUGGGGAUCAAACAGGAUUAGAUACCCUGGUAGUCCACACAGUAAACGAUAAUCACUAGAUGUCGGGUUCUAGAUGGAUUCGGUGUCGGAGCCAACGCGAUAAGUGAUUCGCCUGGGGAGUACGAUCGCAAGGUUGAA
rnacentral:rRNA from 1 species